AGCAUCUUGGUACCAAAUUAGAGUAUCUCCUUCCAUGUAGUAAAAAGCCAUUAACAUCUUCUGUGAAGGUGGUGUUUGGUAAUAAUCAAACUACUGGGAAGCUCUGAAAAUCCAGCCCGUUGGGUUGCUGCCAUCUCAGUCACAAUGGACCACUUGGGCAGUUGUUUGGGUAACAAUGGUGCGAACCAUUUCCAUCAGCUGAGUGAUAUCUUCUCACAUUGCAUGCAACUUUUCCUCCAGGGUUUGAAAUUGUUCCUCGUGGACUUGCAUCCUCUCCUCGUGGGCAUGUUUGGAUCUGGUGUUAUUAGCCAUAAAGGACCGGUGUCUCUAAAUACCAAUUCUACUGUGUUGCCUUCCUCCAAAACGCACCGUUCCUUCAAUUGGUUGUGGGCUCACUCAUAAGUUAU